AGAUGAACUAUCACUCUGAGAGUUUUUGUAUUUCCCUUAAUUCUACUGCAGGAAGGAGGCGUUCAAUGCCACGGGGAUGUGUCGGAAUUAUGAGUUACACUCAAGAGAAACACGGCUGGUCAACAUUAACCUGCAUGUCUUUGGACGAUGGGAGAGAGCUGAAGCACCUGAGGAGAACUCACAGACACAAGGAGAACAUGCAAACUCCAAACAGAAAGGCCACAGCCAAGGCACUGGAAGACCCCUGAAUGCACCACAGAGGAAGACCUUUCCAGCCAGUUCCUGCCCGCAACUAAAUCAACUUUGUCCACCAAUAAAAGCAGCUCUGCUCCGUCAUUUCAAGUCUCUGCGGGUUCAUUUUCUGCACACAAUGAACUGAAAUCAGAGGUAGAAAAUGAAUUUAAAUCUUUGGUGUAUGGUCCUUUAAAUCGGAGGUUAAUCGCAGCACAAAAGUGAGGAAAAGAUGAGGUGGAUUUGUGAGUUUUGGGGUAAGAAAAUAAGUUGUUUACUGUCCAAUCAGCACCAUGGACAUUAGGCUCAAUGGAUGGAGGCAGCUAUAGGGGAGGAAACGAGGGAGGGAGGGGGAGGAAGAGCGAGGAGGAAACGCCAGUGGAGGGAGUGUGACAAGAGUAGUGAUGGAGGGAUGGGGAGGAGGCGAGCGGAGGGGAGGGGGUGCUCUCUAAAUCUGUUGGAGGAGGAAGUCUGGAGGAAAGGAUUAGGGAAGACAGAGAGGGGAGUGUCUAUAACCUGACCACCCUGUUUCUCCCUGCAUCAGCCCAUUCAAGCGUUAUUAUUCACAUACACAGCAGACCCCCCCCUCUCUCCCUUUACACUAUUAUCCUGACGCAGCCCCCCCCAAACCCGGGUGUCAAGGUCUCAUUGAGAAAGCUCCUGACAGAUGUGAUGAUACAGUCUGCGCAAAUAUUUCCUCUGUCCUUCAGCUGCUCAGGUUCAGAGGAAACAGACCGUGCAAACAUUCACAUAAAAAAAAAAAAAAAAAAAAGAGAGAGACACACACACAAAACUCACAAAGCUCAUCACUGAGAGUUUAAAGUCUUUUUGGUUUGUGCUGUGCUGUGAUGUGAUGGAGCACUGCAGCU